GCCCUACGGGGGGCAGCAGUGGGGAAUAUUGCACAAUGGGGGGAACCCUGAUGCAGCAAUGCCGCGUGGGUGAAGAAGCACUCCGGUGCGUAAAGCCCUGUCAGCAGGGAAGAAAAUGACAGUACCUGGACAAGAAGCCCCGGCUAACUACGUGCCAGCAGCCGCGGUAAUACGUAGGGGGCAAGCGUUAUCCGGAUUUACUGGGUGUAAAGGGAGCGCAGACGGCUGUGCAAGUCUGGAGUGAAAGGCGGGGGCCCAACCCCCGGACUGCUCUGGAAACUGUAAAGCUGGAGUGCAGGAGAGGG
rnacentral:rRNA from 1 species